rnacentral:tRNA from 1 species
GUGGGCGUGCCGGAGUGGUUAUCGGGCAUGACUAGAAAUGAUGUGGGUUUUGCCCGCGCAGGUUCGAAUCUUGCCGCUCAUG